CAAGUCGAACGAUGAAGUGGAGCUUGCUCCACGGAUUAGUGGCGAACGGGUGAGGAACACGUGAGAAACCUGCCUCGGAUUUUGGGAUAACAAAUGGAAACGUUUGCUAAUACCAAAUAACGUCGGAGAGUCACAUGACUUUCUGACGAAAGGAAUUCCGAUUCGAGAGGGUCUCGCGGCCUAUCAGCUUGUUGGCGGGGUAAUGGCCCACCAAGGCAACGACGGGUAGCUGGUCUGAGAGGAUGGUCAGCCACACUGGGACUGAGACACGGCCCAGACUCCUACGGGAGGCAGCAGUGGGGAAUCUUGCGCAAUGGGCGAAAGCCUGACACAGCAACGCCGCGUGCGGGAAGAAGGCUUUCGGGCUGUAAACCGCUUUCAGCAGGAACGAAAAUGACGGUACCUGCAGAAGAAGGAGCGGCCAACUAUGUGCCAGCAGCCGCGGUGAUACAUAGGCUUCAAGCGUUGUCCGGAUUUAUUGGGCGUAAAGAGUUCGUAGGCGGUCGAGUAAGUCGGGUGUGAAAAUUCUGGGCUCAACCCAGAGACGCCACCCGAUACUGCUUAACUUGAGUUCGAUAGGGGAGUGGGGAAUUCCUAGUGUAGCGGUGAAAUGCGCAGAUAUUAGGAGGAACACCGGUGGCGAAGGCGCCACUCUGGAUCGACACUGACGCUGAGGAACGAAAGCAUGGGUAGCAAACAGGAUUAGAUACCCUGGUAGUCCAUGCGGUAAACGGUGGGCACUAGGUGUGGGUUUCUAUUAACGAAAUCCGCGCCGUCGCUAACGCAUUAAGUGCCCCGCCUGGGGAGUACGGUCGCAAGACUAAAACUCAAAGGAAUUGACGG
rnacentral:rRNA from 1 species